GGGGAGCACAUCCAUGGGGACAUGCUCCGGAUGUCCUGUCCUGACCCUGUCCACACCUCUAAUUCCUGUCUGCUGUCAGAUGAGCUUCUUUGCUUUCCCAUGGGCUACUUCCAAGAUGGUCAAGGGUAUGCCCCAAGCGAACAACUCACCUAGGACUGACGCUCUGAAGCUGUGAGUCCAGACAAGUCCUCCACAUUUUGAAACAGCAUCUUGGAGGUGCUGGACAUGGGCAGACGAACAAAUCCCAGACUGAGGACCAAUGACAGAGCAGAGAAACUACUCCACCAAGUUUCGCUUCCUGGGGUGACUUGGUGACUUACAGGAGCGUGUGUCAGCUGCACAGCCAAAAGGUCCUCCCCACACGUGAAGACUGAUGACAGAUGCGUCCCUGGAGCUCCCUGCACAACUUGCAGGCAGCUCCUCUUCCCAGCAGUUGUUUUCUCCUCAUAUACUGUUGUGAAGGGGCCCACAUGUGUCUUGUAAGUUGUGAGAUUCCUCUGAGACUCCUUCCUGUCUCAAUCCAGAGGAAGCAUCUAUUCAACACCUCUCAAGUCAGAUGGUUAUAUGUCCUCAUACCUGCAGAAUAAACAUUUUAAAAAAGGCUUCAAAA